rnacentral:rRNA from 1 species
UUUGGUAGUCCACGCCCUAAACGAUGUCGACUUGGAGGUUGUUCCCUUGAGGAGUGGCUUCCGGAGCUAACGCGUUAAGUCGACCGCCUGGGGAGUACGGCCGCAAGGUUAAAACUCAAAUGAAUUGACGGGGGCCCGCACAAGCGGUGGAGCAUGUGGUUUAAUUCGAUGCAACGCGAAGAACCUUACCUACUCUUGACAUCCACGGAACUUUCCAG